CCAAGUUAUGUAGUUCAAUAAAGGUUCUUGCUGUCAUCACUGCGUCUUGCCUUGUGGGAGCCCACCUACACUUCAGGAAUGUGCCUGAGAUGUGUGGCAUGGGCUCAAGUUGAAGGGUGGCUGCAAGGUCCUUCAGAACUUACCCUUCGUCCUCCUCCUGGCAGAACUGAAGUCCUGUGGAUGCCUACCUGGCUUUCACCCUCUAUAAGCAAAGGACAAAUAAAUGGCUUUUCACUAGCAGCUGGGUGGAAGAAAAGGAAUUGACCCAUCUACUCACCCUGCCUAUGGCUGACUUGUGGUCCCACCACAAAUUGAGAUAUCGGGAAAUGCAGCCUCCACCAUAAAACAGAUUCACCGCUCCUAUUAAGAGGGCAUCUGAAUUUUAUCCAGCUGCAAUUGAAUAAGCAUGACUAUAUCUAAAGUAGCAACAUUAAGGAUAAAUCAAACAUGAUCCUGGCCAACCACUCGUGGGUCUGUAAUUCAUGGAGAUUUAAUGAAAACCGAGCACAAUAGAUCUUGUCUGUUCGGAGCACUAAAGAGAAGUUAGCAACACUGAGAAUACAGUCAUAUUCAUGUCUGAAGUACUUAACUUCUUGAAUUAAAUGAGACUUACUACUAGGUAAGAGAGUAUAGCUGGGGUGGUGAACUUUUUUUCAGCCAGAGGGCUGCAGUCCCUCAGGAGAACCAUAUGCCAUGGGUUCUAGCCACACAAAAGCCAACAGUUCCUAUCUACACACACACACACACACACACACACACACACACACACACCUUUCAUACAGACAGAAAAGAUGCAUUAUUCACAUUUCAACUAUACAUUCCAGCUAGGCAAAAGCACUAAAGAGGGUUGGUGGGGGUGUCUUUUGGGGAGUGUCCCCAAGGAUCACAGUCAGCCUUGGCCCUGGAGGUUUCCUAUCCUUGCUGUAUAAGAUUGCAGCUUGAUUUACAAAUUCUAUUAUUAACCACUGGUUUCAUCUGGACUCUCAAAAAAUCCAAAUCUUAUCUGAUCUUCCCUGCAUAUCUAAACAACAUAGCACCAAGUUAAAUCUUGAAUGCAUGCAGUGUGGGAACUGCUUCCUUGUCCCUGUCCCUCCCCCUGCACCCCUGAGAUCCAUUCAGAUUGAUCAUGUGGACAAUUAUUUUGUGUAGAAUGCCCUUCAGCCUGUUUGCCUUUAUCGUGUGACAGAAUGCAAAGCGAUUUUCUGGAAAAGCGUGCACAUGACUGCAGCUUGAGAAAUAAUGGGGAAUUACACCAUCAAAGAAGGCAAAUACUCCUGGUUUUUUGCACAACAGAAGUAAUGCUAUCGUGGGAAUUUGCAGAGGGUUAGUACCUCUGUCAGCUUGCUGUAGGAAAAGCUAUGAAGAGACUUGUGGUCACCUUGAAGGCUAAAAAGUAUGGCAAUCAUCCCCAAUGCUGAAGUCUACUCCAUGAGAAGCAUCUUAUGAAGUUGACUUUAUCCCACAAAAGCUUAUGCCGUAUACAUUUAAAGCAACACAAGACAAUAGUAAGAGACUCUACAGUAUUUGAUGAUACAGACAAAACUCUUAUGUGUGAAGGUAAGAGAAAGAGCUGCAAAUCUCUAAAGACAAAAAGCAAUAAAAAUACUAUAUUUAAUAAAUUGCAUCUGGUGAAUAGGAUUCUGGACGAUGAAAAUGCAUGCUGCAAUAUAUUUAUUAAAACCUUAAGAUGCCACAGAGCACUCUUGUCAUUUUACAGGAUUUUCUCAAGAACUAUCCAGGAGUUCAGUUUGUCUCUGACACAAGCAAAGCAGACACAUUCUUUAAAAAAUAAAGGAACGUGCUCCUUCUCUCAGCCAUAAAUAUGACCGUACAGUUAAAAAAUAAUUUACCAGCUAUGUAUAAAAAUAAGUGGUCACCUUUCCAAUCCUAAGGAAACCCAUGUGAAGAGUUUAUUAGGUCAUGUCUGCAUUGCAAAUGUAAAUGAGCUUAAUUGUCCUCUCCCCAAAGACCCUGAGAAUUGUAGUUCCUUAAAUGGGGUACCACACAUCUCUUUCAAAGUCUUAUUACAAAACUACUACUAUACACUUUCUUGGAGAAGCCAAGGUUAAAGGUUGCAGGGCAGAUGUGCCUGCAGCAAAAAGCUCAUCUAGAAUAUAAGGUGGGAAGUCCACUAUCCUUCACUCAUCCAUCUUCAAACUUAGGAGUGGUUCAAAUGCACAUUUGCACCUGAGCACUUGCAUGUGCGAUUGUGGUGUUGUGUGGCAAAGUCCAGACAAAUUUUCAGAUCAGCUCAAACAAAAUGGGCAUUAGUUAAGGUGCUCACACAUUUAUCUGCCAAUAAUUGCAUAGAGAAACAAAGCGAUGUGUGUGCAUAUGUGAACAAGCCCUGUAUCUAGGCUCUCCACAGUGAGAAUACAUACACUGACUGUAACUAGGAUCAAGCCUCUACCUUUAAAGAGUGGCCAAAAGGGGGAGUCUAUUGGUGACAGCUUCUAGCGUUACUACAGUUCUAUGAUGGGAAAAGCUGCACGUAAAAUUAGUUCCAUUAGUUCUUCAAGGUCCAAGAUCCUUUUUGGGGUCCACAGCUGACAAUUGUGUUUUGGCCUGCACUUUUGAUUUUUAUUGUGCUGCACCUGCUGCCCUUAUAAAAAAUAACUAGAAAUACCGCACAUAACCCGGAUAUACAUAGGGUUGAUUUUCAAAUGGCCCACCCUCUCUACCAAUCACAUCCCUACCAAUCACUGUAAAAGGACAGAAUAAUCCCUGAGACUGAGCUAAGGUGGGUUGUAGGGCAACUGGAAUCAAGUGGACACACCCUGUUAGGAUUUGUUGAGGUUCUGAAUUCUCUUCAAGGGGG